ACAUAUUUCUCGCUUGCGAAGUUGCCGAAGUUGACUGUGUUGACUGGUUUAGGAUGUAAAAGCAGAUUUAAAUCUUGUCCUAAGAGGGAAUCAAAUGAGUUGGUGCUAAAGGUGAUUCGUUUAAUGAACCUAUGAUCAAUUCUACAAAGUCACGUUAAGAGGUUGGCUGCCCUGUCACUGUGACCUAAAUACGUAUAUCCGGUGUACAGCAUCAAGCGGGCGAAACGUGCCAAAACAUUCACAAAUCGUAGCCACUUGCACGACGCUGAGUUUGCAUUACGCUCAGACAAGGUGCCCAGGGACCCAGUUCCGCCAUGCUGAUCCGGAGCUUCUGGGAGAGCUGUACGCCUUCGCCCGAGGACAGUGAUGCUCCAUCUUCCAGCAGCAAGAACGCCCUCCACCUGCCCCCUUUUCAGUUACUUUUGAUAAGGG